AGAGUUUGAUCCUGGCUCAGAACGAACGCUGGCGGCGCGUCUUAAGCAUGCAAGUCGAACGGCAAGAUACCUUCGGGUAUCCUAGAGUGGCGGACUGGUGAGUAACGCGUGGAUGACGUACCCUCGUGACGGGGAUAGCCGGUAGAAAUACCGGGUAAUACCGGAUAAGGUCUCACGGAAUAAAGGCGUGAGAGGAAAGCAGCGUAUGCUGCGCAGGAGGAACGGUCUGCGGCCUAUCAGCUGGUUGGCAGGGUAAAAGCCUACCAAGGCGACGACGGGUAUCCGGCCUGAGAGGGUGGACGGACACAUUGGGACUGAGAUACGGCCCAGACUCCUACGGGAGGCAGCAGCUAAGAAUAUUCCGCAAUGGGGGGAACCCUGACGGAGCGACGCCGCGUGGACGAUGAAGGUCGGAAGAUUGUAAAGUCCUUUUAUACAUGAAGAAGAAGUUAUACAGGAAAUGGUAUGAUGGUGACGGUAGUGUAUGAAUAAGCACCGGCUAAUUACGUGCCAGCAGCCGCGGU
rnacentral:rRNA from 1 species